rnacentral:tRNA from 1 species
AUUUAUAUAGUUUAUUAUUUAAAACCUUUCAUUUUCAGUGAAAAAAAAACUACUAAGUUUAUAAAUU